AUUGAACGCUGGCGGCAGGCUUAACACAUGCAAGUCGAGCGGGGGAAGGUAGCUUGCUACCGGACCUAGCGGCGGACGGGUGAGUAAUGCUUAGGGAUCUGCCUAUUAGUGGGGGACAACAUCUCGAAAGGGAUGCUAAUACCGCAUACGUCCUACGGGAGAAAGCAGGGGAUCUUCGGACCUUGCGCUAAUAGAUGAGCCUAAGUCGGAUUAGCUAGUUGGUGGGGUAAAGGCCUACCAAGGCGACGAUCUGUAGCGGGUCUGAGAGGAUGAUCCGCCACACUGGGACUGAGACACGGCCCAGACUCCUACGGGAGGCAGCAGUGGGGAAUAUUGGACAAUGGGGGGAACCCUGAUCCAGCCAUGCCGCGUGUGUGAAGAAGGCCUUAUGGUUGUAAAGCACUUUAAGCGAGGAGGAGGCUACUUUAGUUAAUACCUAGAGAUAGUGGACGUUACUCGCAGAAUAAGCACCGGCUAACUCUGUGCCAGCAGCCGCGGUAAUACAGAGGGUGCGAGCGUUAAUCGGAUUUACUGGGCGUAAAGCGUGCGUAGGCGGCUUAUUAAGUCGGAUGUGAAAUCCCCGAGCUUAACUUGGGAAUUGCAUUCGAUACUGGUGAGCUAGAGUAUGGGAGAGGAUGGUAGAAUUCCAGGUGUAGCGGUGAAAUGCGUAGAGAUCUGGAGGAAUACCGAUGGCGAAGGCAGCCAUCUGGCCUAAUACUGACGCUGAGGUACGAAAGCAUGGGGAGCAAACAGGAUUAGAUACCCUGGUAGUCCAUGCCGUAAACGAUGUCUACUAGCCGUUGGGGCCUUUGAGGCUUUAGUGGCGCAGCUAACGCGAUAAGUAGACCG
rnacentral:rRNA from 1 species